CCUACGGGAGGCAGCAGUGGGGGAUAUUGCACAAUGGGGGAAACCCUGAUGCAGCGACGCCGCGUGAGUGAAGAAGUUUUUCGGUUUGUAAACUUCUAUCAUUAGGGAAGAAAAUGACAGUACCUGACCAAGAAGCCCCGGCUAACUACGUGCCAGCAGCCGCGGUAAUACGUAGGGGGCAAGCGUUAGUCGGAUUUACUGGGUGUAAAGGGAGCGUAGGCGGUUAUGUAAGUCAGGAGUGAAAGCCUAUGGCUUAACCACGGGACUGCAUUGGAAACUGUGUUUCUAGAGUACAGGAGGGGCAGGCGGAAUUCUUGGUGUAGGGGUGAAAUGCGUAGAGAUCAGGAGGAACA
rnacentral:rRNA from 1 species